GCCCAGGUGGUGGAACUGGUAGACACGCUAGAUUCAGGGUCUAGUGGCGGCAACGCCGUGGAGGUUCGACUCCUCUCCUGGGCACCA
rnacentral:tRNA from 1 species